CACGUAGGGCGCGAGCGUUGUCCGGAAUUAUUGGGCGUAAAGAGCUCGUAGGCGGCCUGUUGCGUCCGCUGUGAAAGCCCGGGGCUUAACCCCGGGUCGGCAGUGGAUACGGGCAGGCUAGAGGUAGGUAGGGGAGAAUGGAAUUCCCGGUGUAGCGGUGAAAUGCGCAGAUAUCGGGAGGAACACCGGUGGCGAAGGCGGUUCUCUGGGCCUUACCUGACGCUGAGGCACGAAGGUCAGGGGAGCAAACGGG
rnacentral:rRNA from 1 species